rnacentral:rRNA from 1 species
AUCGAACGCUGGCGGCAGGCUUAACACAUGCAAGUCGAGCGGGUGUAGCAAUACAUCAGCGGCAGACGGGUGAGUAACGCGUGGGAACGUACCUUUUGGUUCGGAACAACACAGGGAAACUUGUGCUAAUACCGGAUAAGCCCUUACGGGGAAAGAUUUAUCGCCGAAAGAUCGGCCCGCGUCUGAUUAGCUAGUUGGUAGGGUAAUGGCCUACCAAGGCGACGAGCAGUAGCUGGUCUGAGAGGAUGAUCAGCCACAUUGGGACGGAGACACGGCCAAAACGCCUACGGGAGGCAGAGGUGGGGAAUAUUGGACAGUGGGGGCAACCCUGAUCCAGCCAUGCGGCGUGAGUGAUGAAGGCCCUAGGGUUGUAAAGCUCUUUUGUGCGGGAAGACAAUGACGGUACCGCAAGAAUAAGCCCCGGCUAACUUCGUGCCAGCCGCCGCCGUAAUAC